rnacentral:rRNA from 1 species
CAGCAGCCGCGGGAAUACGAAGGGUGCAAGCGUUACUCGGAAUUACUGGGCGUAAAGCGUGCGUAGGUGGUGGUUUAAGUCCGUUGUGAAAGCCCUGGGCUCAACCUGGGAAUUGCAGUGGAUACUGGGUCACUAGAGUGUGGUAGAGGAUAGUGGAAUUUCCGGUGUAGCGGUGAAAUGCGUAGAGAUCGGGAGGAACAUCAGUGGCGAAGGCGGCCAUCUGGGACAACACUGACGCUGAGGCACGAAAGCGUGGGGAGCAAACAGGAUUAGAUACCCGCGUAGUCCCUGUCUCUUAUAC